GUCAGGAUGGCCUAGCCGUGUGAGGCACAGACCUGCCUUCAGAAUCCUCUGGAGGUGUGGGUUUGAAUCCCACUCCUGAC
rnacentral:tRNA from 1 species